AAGGAGAGAAUAAAAUAUUUUCUCAAGCCCUCACACACGCCACUUCUCUUCUCUCCUAUUUCCAUUCUCCUUCCAAUCUUAAGUCAACCACCCAUUAUUUCUUCUUCUCAAGAGGAAAAUAGCAAAUUUUGGAUUUCCAGCCAAGGGAUUCGCGUGCUCUCUAGUUCUCUACAUCGAACCCACCUCUUCUCUUCUCCAUUUUCAUGUUUUGGGAAUGGAUUCACUAAGGUAAUGACAAAGACGCUAGGGAGCAGGGCAUUACUGCAAGAGGGAGAGGCAUAUGCUUAGUGUCUUCCCUAUUGAUUUGACCUUACAGAUGAUGGGUUAUGUUUAUAGAUGUUGUUUUUAUGUUGGGAUGGGUCCCUUGUUGGGACGUUUUGUCGGGUUUGACUUAAAACCAUGUAUCUCUUGGUAUAGUGUAAACAUUAUGGUGGGGUGAUGGUAAACCCUUAUACAUUGACUUAGUGCCUUCUUGUAUGUAUGGUAGAGAUGGAGUCCCUUCCUUACUAGAACAUUUAUGUUUUUAUGAACAUA